rnacentral:sRNA from 1 species
UAUGAAUUCAUGUCAGUUUUAACCGAGUCCUUUGAGGUGGUCACUACCUCAGGGAAAUCUAGUUCUUGCUAUUGUAGCUCAGGUGAGCGAUGUAGCUCAUGGACCUUUUGUUCUAGUAUCAACAGACAGAUGCAAAUUACAAAGGUUAUGUAUGCAUUAGGAUAUGGUUCAUGUAUACAAUGUACAUGCAUUACGUAUUGGAAAGCUGUGUAAUGCAAUUUAUAAUUCGUUUACUGAGAUUUAGAAAUAUACAUGUACAAAAGUAACGUUCAUUUUACUGAAUUUUUUUGUACAAUAAUACUUUGUAUGAUGGUUUGAAAUAUUGUAAAUCAGUGGGAGAAAAUAUAUUCUAACAACUU